rnacentral:tRNA from 1 species
GCCUUCGUGGUUUGGUGGUCAGCACACUCGGCGCGUAUUCGAGAGGUCCGUGGUUCGAGUCCUGGCGAGGGCA